ensembl:ncRNA F09F9.7 ncRNA
AUGUUUUCUAUCUACGGCAUUGAAUGCUAAAGAAUAGAUGAGCCUUGAUGGUUGGAGAGCACCCCUUGUGGAGGCGGAGCCGGCUGGCUCCAACUAAAUUGGCCAAGAACGGGUGGGGAAGAGGCACACGGAGACUCCAGCACUACCUUCCGACAAUGUUCUGUUAUAAUAACCGCUGACAUUCAUGAGU